ACGCCGCGGGCGCCGGGGUCGGAGACGGAGCCGGGGACCCAAUUCCCCGGGGUGAAUCGGCAUCAGGUCGACCGCGGCGCGCGGGUGCCCACAGGGGGCGCCGGUACCGGGGUCGUGAGGUGUCGUAGGGCGAGACUUCCGGCCCGAACCCGUCAGCUCACCCGGUAGACGGCCAGGAAGAAGGA
rnacentral:sRNA from 1 species